rnacentral:rRNA from 1 species
AUACGGAGGAUGCAAGCGUUAUCCGGAUUUAUUGGGUUUAAAGGGUGCGUAGGCGGUUUGCUAAGCGGGAGGUGAAAUGCCGGCGCUCAACGUCGGAAGUGCCUCCCGAACUGGUGGACUUGAAUGACUCUGCCGUGGGAGGAAUGUGUGGUGUAGCGGUGAAAUGCUUAGAGAUUACACAGAACACCGAUUGCGAAGGCAUCUCACGAAGGGUUGAUUGACGCUGAGGCACGAAAGCGUGGGGAUCAAACAGGAUUAGAUACCCUGGUAGUCCACGCAGUAAACGAUGAUGGCUAACCGCUGGAUCCAUCGGUUCAGUGGCCAAGCGAAAGCGAUAAGCCAUCCACCUGGGGAGUACGACCGCAAGGUUGAAACUCAAAUGAAUUGACGGGG